UCUAUCAUCGUUCCAAGUGUCUAAAAUUUUGUGGAAAAUAUUACUAUAAAGUUAACUGAGAGGUGAAAUUGGAAAGGAAGAGAAAGAAAACGAAAAACCAGAUAUCAAGAUGGCAGAGGCAAUGAAUGAUCAGCAAACUAUCUCUUUGAUGCAGAUAAUCCAAGAAAUGCUUGAAAUGGGGUUCAUCAGUCCACAGAUGGCCCAAAUGCUCGUUGAAUAUUUUUACUUUCACUAUGGGGACCUCAUUUUUACUUAGAAGAAUUCAAGAGCAAAAGAAAUACAGAUUUAAAGAGUCGAAAAAUAUCAAUUCCUGCUGAUUUUCUACUUUCUACUUUAUAUCAACUAUAUAUAAUAUUAAAAUA